rnacentral:rRNA from 1 species
ACUACGGGUGGCAGCAGUGGGGAAUAUUGGGCAAUGGGCGCAAGCCUGACCCAGCAACGCCGCGUGAAGGAAGAAGGCUUUCGGGUUGUAAACUUCUUUUCUCAGGGACGAAGAAAGUGACGGUACCUGAGGAAUAAGCCACGGCUAACUACGUGCCAGCAGCCGCGGUAAUACGUAGGUGGCAAGCGUUAUCCGGAUUUAUUGGGUGUAAAGGGCGUGUAGGCGGGGGCGCAAGUCAGAUGUGAAAACUCAGGGCUCAACCCUGAGCCUGCAUUUGAAACUGUGUUUCUUGAGUGCUGGAGAGGCAAUCGGAAUUCCGUGUGUAGCGGUGAAAUGCGUAGAUAUACGGAGGAACACCAGUGGCGAAGGCGGAUUGCUGGACAGUAACUGACGCUGAGGCGCGAAAGCGUGGGGAGCAAACAGGAUUAGAUACCCCUGUAGUC